AGGCCGCAGGGGGAGCAGGGGCCGCAAAGGCCGCACAGCGUCUGCGGUCUUGGGGCCCCGGCACUGGUGGGCACCGCGUCCUCGCGGCCCGCGGGCGCCCCGGCACGACUCGCUCUCCGCUCCUGGACUCGGCCACAGCCCCGUCCCCCCGGGGUUCCGCCGCAGGACAGCGCGCCCGGGCUUAGCCCCGAACUCCGGCCACCUGGGGGCCGACGGGGCGCCUCGGAACCAACGGCUCGACGCCGGAUUCCAGCGCUAGAGGGGACGCGAGUGCGGAGGACUUCCGGGGCGGGGUCCGGCUGGAGCGGAAGAGGCCUGGGGCUGCGCGGGGCCGGGCGGGGAGCGGGAAGGACGCCGUGGGUGCAGGGGCUCGGCCAUGAACUUGGAGCGGCUGCGGAAGCGCGUCCGGCAGUACCUGGACCAGCAACAGUAUCAAAGUGCUCUAUUUUGGGCAGAUAAAGUAGCUUCACUUUCUCAUGAGGAACCCCAGGACAUUUAUUGGUUGGCUCAGUGUCUUUACCUAACAGCACAGUAUCAUAGAGCAGCUCAUGCACUUCGGUCACGAAAACUGGACAAACUAUAUGAAGCAUGUCGCUACCUUGCAGCUAGAUGCCAUUAUGCUGCAAAAGAGCAUCAACAAGCUCUUGAUAUUCUUGAUAUGGAGGAGCCAAUCAACAAAAGGUUGUUUGAGAAAUGCUUAAAGGAUGAAAGUGGCUUGAAAGACCCCUCUAGUGACUGGGAAAUGUCACAGUCCUCAAUAAAGAGUUCUAUUUGUCUCCUACGGGGGAAGAUCUACGAUGCCCUGGAUAACCGAGCCCUAGCUACUUAUAGCUACAAAGAAGCUUUGAAGCUCGAUGCCUACUGUUUUGAAGCAUUUGAUCUUUUAACAUCACAUCACAUGUUGACAGCCCAAGAAGAAAAAGAACUUCUUGAGUCACUACCUCUUAGCAAGCUCUGUACUGAAGAACAGGAAUUGCUACGCUUUCUGUUUGAGAACAAAUUAAAAAAGUAUAAUAAACCUAGUGAAACUGUCCUCCCCGAGUCUGUAGAUGGUUUGCAAGAGAACCUGGAUGUGGUAGUGUCUUUAGCUGAAAGACAUUAUUAUAACUGUGAUUUUAAAAUGUGCUACAAGCUUACUUCUGUAGUAAUGGAGAAAGAUCCUUUCCAUGCAAACUGUUUACCUGUACAUAUAGGUACACUUGUGGAGCUGAAUAAAGCAAAUGAACUUUUCUAUCUUUCUCAUAAGUUGGUGGAUCUAUAUCCUAGUAAUCCUGUAUCUUGGUUUGCGGUGGGAUGCUACUAUCUCAUGGUUGGUCAUAAAAACGAGCAUGCCAGAAGAUAUCUCAGCAAAGCAACAACACUUGAGAAGACUUACGGGCCUGCGUGGGUAGCAUAUGGACACUCAUUUGCAGUUGAGAGUGAGCACGACCAAGCCAUGGCUGCUUACUUUACAGCAGCACAGCUGAUGAAAGGGUGUCAUUUGCCAAUGCUGUACAUCGGAUUAGAAUAUGGAUUGACCAAUAACUCAAAAUUGGCUGAAAGAUUCUUUGGCCAAGCACUAAGCAUUGCCCCAGAAGACCCAUUUGUGAUGCACGAGGUUGGUGUGGUUGCAUUUCAGAAUGGAGAAUGGAAAACGGCAGAAAAAUGGUUUCUUGAUGCUUUGGAAAAAAUUAAAGCAAUUGGAAAUGAGGUAACAGUGGACAAAUGGGAGCCUUUGUUGAACAACUUGGGGCAUGUCUGCAGGAAGCUUAAAAAGUACACUGAGGCCUUGGAUUAUCACCGUCAGGCACUGGUGUUAAUUCCCCAGAAUGCGUCCACCUAUUCUGCCAUUGGGUAUAUCCAUAGUCUGAUGGGCAAUUUUGAAAAUGCUGUUGACUAUUUCCACACAGCCCUUGGUCUUAGACGAGAUGAUACAUUUUCUGUUACAAUGCUUGGUCAUUGCAUUGAGAUGUACAUUGGUGAUUCUGAAGCUUACAUUGGAGCAGACAUUAAAGACAAAUUAAAAUGUUAUGACUUUGAUGUGCAUACAAUGAAGACACUAAAAAACAUUAUUUCACCUCCGUGGGAUUUCAGGGAAUUUGAAGUAGAAAAACAGACUGCAGAAGAGACAGGGCUUGUGCCCCUGGAAACCUCACGGAAAACCCCAGAUCCCAGACCUUCUUUGGAAGAAACCUUCGAAAUUGAAAUGAAUGAAAGUGACAUGAUGCUGGAGACCUCAAUGUCAGACCACAGCACAUGACUGCAGACAGGUCUCAGUUCCAUUUUGUCCAGGGGGAGGUCACGGUUUCCUCAUAUCCUUGUCCCAUCUUCAGAAAUCCCCACUUGUUAACACAAAUGCAGACGGCACUUCUCCACUGAAGAGUGGAGACAUGCCAAGAGGCUGGACCAUACACCUUUGGAGCAGAUAUUUUCUCGUCCCAAAAAGCAGUUUUGUGUAGAGGAAUAAAGAGGUUUCUGAAAAAGCAGACUCCUGAUAAAGGAGCCAUUUCCAUAUUGACAGUGAGUGCUUUAAGAAAUAAAAGGCAAAAUCCAAGCUGUUUUUCAGAUCAGCAGUUAAUACCAAUGUUUAGGCUUCAGAGUAUCAAAGAAAGGUAAUGUGUAGUUGUACUGUCAAGUAUUUUUCUAUUACUACCUAAUUUUUACUCUUAUAGUUUCCUAAAAAGGCAUCCUUUUUGACAACUUCAAAGUGACCAUACUGUCAUUUUCAGAGGAAUAUGGGAAUGUUAUGGUCACUGCUGCUUUAAACCACUGCCAUUACCAAUUAGAUGUGUUUCCAAGUAAGAUACAGCCUUUCCUGUAGCCAGCAUUUACCCCAGGACCACAUUCAUGUGUGGCAAAGCACAGUUACCUACUUUACUCUGACAUUUGGAGAUUAUUUUGCUUUUUUUUUUUUUGUCUAUAGUGUAUGUAAAACAAACGUAAAAACAUUUUAACAGGCUUGGUGAUAUCUAGGAAGCUAGAUUUUGUGAUGUAAUUUUUUAUAUAAAAUCUUAAGCUAUUUUACAAGUAUAUUUCAUUUACUAGAUCUUGAAAUUUGUAAGAUUUUUUGUUUACCAUUUCUUAGAAUCUUGUUAAUAACAAGUAAAGAGGGGCACCUGGGUGGCUCUGUCAGUUGGGCAUCUGCUUUCGGCUUGGGUCAUGAUCUCAGGGUCCUGGGAUCAAGUUCCGUGUUGGGCUCCCUGCUCAGUGGGGAGUCUGCUCCCCACCCCAGCCCCGGCUCUUACGUGUACUCUUCUCUCUCAAAGAAAUAAAUAAAAUCUUAAAAAAAUAGCAGAAACUAAAGAGUCAGAGGGGUCUUUAAAAAUGAACAGUGGUGGCUGUUAGCUGGGGAAAAAACAUUUGGGUAUUUUGCUGGCUAGGUUACAAGAAAUACACAUCUAGCAAACAUGGGAGUGCCUGUAGAUGUCAGAUGCAGGCCUGGGCUGGGCAUACAGAGUUGAAUAGAAACCUAGUUCCUGCGUAAGUGGAGUCCCACUUCUCAGUUGGUAGGGAGUCUUCAGCACUGAAACUGUAGAAACUAGUAAGUGGAGAUGUGCUCAAGGUUCUGAGGAUCUCCAGUGAAGCACCUUGACUGGGAUGGUGUUGGGUUGGGGUGAGAAGGUUCAGGAAGGUGGACAGGUCAUUAUAAGCCAAGGCCACAGUACAAACCAUGGCUUCAUUGAGGGGGCAAAGUAUGGACACAGGAAUGUCACAAAGCACUGCGCAUGACUGGACCCAAUGAGAAGCUGAGGACAGGAGUUCUGUUCUCCAUUUGUCAAUUUUGGUUUUUGGCUGAGUGAUAAAAGAGUGCUGCAUUAAGAACAGAUGUGAGGUCUAGAAUAAUUAAAGAGCUGAAAUUUUGUACUCUUAUAAUGAGUUUCCUAAAAAGGCAUCCUUUUUGACAACUUCUAAGUGACCAUACUGUCAUUUCCAGAGGAAUAUGGGAAUGUUAUGGUCACUGCUGCUUUAAACCACAUGAAGCAUGUCCCUAAUUUCCCGCGGGCUGGCUAACUGGGCCGAUACUUAAGAGGACUGUCAACCAGGAAAUAAGAGUGUGUAUUUGGGAGCAAAGAAUUGCAGUUUCAGGAGCAAAGAUCCAGGCGGGGUGGAAGGAAGGGAGGUGCAGUUACAGGAGUUAGGAAAAUUUUCUGGGCAGCCCGGGUGGCUCAGCGGUUUAGUGCCACCUUCAGGCCCAGGGCCUGAUCCUGGAGACCAGGGAUCAAGUCCCAUGUUGGGCUCCCUGCAUGGAGCUUGUGUCUCCCUCUGCCUGUGUCUGCCCCUCUCUCUGUCUCUCUCAUGAAUAAACAAAUACAGUCUUUAAAAAAAAUAAAAAAGAAUUUUCUAUGCGUGUUAAUAUAUAUUGACUGACUACUAAUAG